CACAGAACUAGGGCAAAAUUACAUACAGCUGCCGGAAGGAACAGCCAGAUGUCAGCAGUCAAGCACCCAGUUGUGACAAUGUUUUGCAGACAGACAGAUGGUGUUAUACUUUGGCUUGGAGGACAGAGCUGGGCAACAGGAUAGCCAAGUCUAUACGUUUCAGGAGAUCUGACACUCCCUUCUGAUCUCAGAGGGUACUCCAUGUAUGUGGUGUAAUACAUAUAUGUAAGUAUAUAUCUAUAUCUAAUCUAUAUCUAUAUAUCUUUUACAGUUUUAAAAAUAAACCAAAAAAGGUAGAGAUUGACAGACAUCUAUCUGAUACACACACACACACACACACACAGACAGAGAGACUCAGAGAUACACACAGAGAGAAAAGAGACAGAGAUGCACACACAGAGAGAGAGAGAGAGAGAGAGAGAGAGAGAGAGAGAGAGAUCAGAGAGAGAGAGAGAUCCUUACUGACCUUACUGAGAACUCCCUAUCAUGAUGGUACUUUGUUAUAACUUGUUUUGUUUGUUUUGUUAUAGACAAUGUCUCCUGUGGUCGAAGUUGAGGGAGGAGAAAACUGCUACAGAAAGAGCCCAAGUUCACUUACAACAGACACUGAAAUUGCUUUUGCUACUGGGCCAUGGUGGCUCACACCUUUAAUCCCAGCAUUUGGGAGGCAGAGGCAGGUGGAGCUCUGUGAGUUCCUGGUCUACAAAACCAGUUCCAGGACAGCCAGGAAAAUGACACACGGGAACCCUGUUUCAUAAAAAAAAGAAGGAAGGAAGGAAGGAAG
rnacentral:lncRNA from 1 species